UGUCGAGNGGGACGAUAUUGACGGUACCNCUGGAGGAAGCCCCGGCUAACUACGUGCCANCAGCCGCGGUAAUACGUAGGGGGCAAGCGUUGUCCGGAAUUAUUGGGCGUAAAGGGCGUGUAGGNUGUUCUGUAAGUUGGAUGUUAAAGGUAUGGGCUCAACUCAUACAUCGCAUUCAAAACUGCANUUCUNGAGANUGGUAGAGGAAAACGGAACUUCCGGUGUAGCGGUGAAAUGCGUAGAUAUCGGAAGGAACACCANUGGCGAAGGCGGUUUUCUGGGCCNUUUCUGACNCUGAGGCGCGAAAGCUAAGGGAGCAAACAGGAUUAGAUACCCUGGUAGUCNUAGCUGUAAACUAUGGUCACUAGGUGUUUGUGGUAUCGACCCCAUGAGUGCCGAANUUAACAUGAUUAGUGACCCGCCUGGGGAGUACGGUCGCUAGACUA
rnacentral:rRNA from 1 species